rnacentral:rRNA from 1 species
UACGUAGGGUGCAAGCGUUAAUCGGAAUUACUGGGCGUAAAGCGCACGUAGGCGGCUUUGUAAGUUAGAGGUGAAAGCCCGGGGCUCAACUCCGGAAUUGCCUUUAAGACUGCAUCGCUAGAAUUGUGGAGAGGUAAGUGGAAUUCCGAGUGUAGAGGUGAAAUUCGUAGAUAUUCGGAAGAACACCAGUGGCGAAGGCGACACACUGGCCCAGUUACUGACGCUGAGGCUCGAAAGCGUGGGGAGCAAACAGG